CCUACGGGGGGCUGCAGUGGGGGAUAUUGCACAAUGGGGGAAACCCUGAUGCAGCGACGCCGCGUGUGGGAAGACGGUCCUCUGGAUUGUAAACCUCUUUUGUCGGGGAGCAAAAAGGCCUCGUGAGGCCACAAGUGAGAGUACCCGAAGAAAAAGCAUCGGCUAACUCCGUGCCAGCAGCCGCGGUAAUACGGAGGAUGCGAGCGUUAUCCGGAUUUAUUGGGUUUAAAGGGUGCGCAGGCGGAAGAUCAAGUCAGCGGUAAAAUUGAGAGGCUCAACCUCUUCGAGCCGUUGAAACUGGUUUUCUUGAGUGAGUGAGAAGUAUGUGGAAUGCGUGGUGUAGCGGUGAAAUGCAUAGAUAUCACGCAGAACUCCGAUUGCGAAGGCAGCAUACCGGCGCUCAACUGACGCUCAUGCACGAAAGUGUGGGUAUCGAACAGGAUUAGAUACCCGUGUAGUC
rnacentral:rRNA from 1 species